rnacentral:sRNA from 1 species
AGCGGUUGUGUGAAGAUGGAGGUAGGAACUUGAUAGCUAAGAAGGCUGGCGAGAGAACGUGGCCGACCGGGUUGAAGCAGAGACGGGAAGCCGGGCGGAGAGGCGACUGACGGGAGAGGAGAGAGAGCGGGGUUUGGGGAGUGUUGUCAGAAUGUCGGGGUCAGAAGCCAUCGCUCCAAGCUGACUCCCUGCUCCCCCUAACUUAUCCCCGCGACUUUUUUUUGGUUUCCAGUUUCCCGGAGGAAAUGACAAUUACCUGACGAUCACAGGGCCUUCGCACCCCUUCCUGUCAGGGGCCGAGACAUUCCACACACCAAGCUUGGGUGAUGAGGAAUUUGAAAUCCCACCUAUCUCCUUGGAUUCUGAUCCCUCAUUGGCUGUCUCAGAUGUGGUUGGCCACUUUGAUGACCUGGCAGACCCUUCCUCUUCACAGGAUGGCAGUUUUUCAGCCCAGUAUGGGGUCCAGACAUUGGACAUGCCUGUGGGCAUGACCCAUGGCUUGAUGGAGCAGGGCGGGGGGCUCCUGAGUGGGGGCUUGACCAUG